AUUGAACGCUGGCGGCAGGCUUAACACAUGCAAGUCGAGCGGAGCGAGGGUGCUUGCACCUUAGCUUAGCGGCGGACGGGUGAGUAAUGCUUAGGAAUCUGCCUAUUAGUGGGGGACAACAUUCCGAAAGGAAUGCUAAUACCGCAUACGCCCUACGGGGGAAAGCAGGGGAUCUUCGGACCUUGCGCUAAUAGAUGAGCCUAAGUCGGAUUAGCUAGUUGGUGGGGUAAAGGCCUACCAAGGCGACGAUCUGUAGCGGGUCUGAGAGGAUGAUCCGCCACACUGGGACUGAGACACGGCCCAGACUCCUACGGGAGGCAGCAGUGGGGAAUAUUGGACAAUGGGCGGAAGCCUGAUCCAGCCAUGCCGCGUGUGUGAAGAAGGCCUUUUGGUUGUAAAGCACUUUAAGCGAGGAGGAGGCUACCUGGAUUAAUACUCUAGGAUAGUGGACGUUACUCGCAGAAUAAGCACCGGCUAACUCUGUGCCAGCCGCCGCGGUAAUAC
rnacentral:rRNA from 1 species